UGAAAUCUGACCCUUUGGGGUCCGAGUUGUAAUUUGCAGAGGGUGUUUCGGGCACGGUGCCGGUUUAAGUCCUUUGGAACAGGGCGUCAUAGAGGGUGAGAACCCCGUAUGUGACCGGUCGCCAAACCCAUGUGAAACCCCUUCGACGAGUCGAGUUGUUUGGGAAUGCAGCUCAAAAUGGGUGGUAAAUUUCAUCUAAAGCUAAAUAUUGGCCAGAGACCGAUAGCGCACAAGUAGAGUGAUCGAAAGAUGAAAAGCACUUUGGAAAGAGAGUCAAACAGCACGUGAAAUUGUUGAAAGGGAAGCGCUUGCGACCAGACCUGCUCGCGGGUGAUCAGCGGUGCUUUUCGCGCCGUGCACUCAUCCGCGAUCAGGCCAGCAUCGGUUCAGGCGGCCGGAUAAAGACUCGGAGAAUGUAGCUCCCUCCGGGGAGUGUUAUAGCUCCUUGUGCAAUACGGCCAGCCGGGACCGAGGACCGCGCUUCGGCUAGGAUGCUGGCGUAAUGGUCGUAAGCGACCCGUCUUGAAACACGGACCAAGGAGUCUAACAUCUGUGCGAGUGUUUGGGCGUCAAACCCAUGCGCGCAAUGAAAGUGAACGUGAGGUGGGAACCCUUUCGGGGGCGCACCAUCGACCGAUCCAGAUGUCUUCGGAUGGAUUUGAGUAAGAGCACAGCUGUUGGGACCCGAAAGAUGGUGAACUAUGCCUGAAUAGGGUGAAGCCAGAGGAAACUCUGGUGGAGGCUCGCAGCGGUUCUGACGUGCAAAUCGAUCGUCAAAUUUGGGUAUAGGGGCGAAAGACUAAUCGA
rnacentral:rRNA from 1 species